rnacentral:lncRNA from 1 species
CUGCUUUGUCUACCAUUCAUCUAAUCCUUCCAUGCUCCCCCCAUGUACCCCCUAUGAGUCAGCCUCCUUAUAUCAGAGAAAACAUUCAGCAUUUGUUUUUGGGGGAUUGGCUAACUUCACUUAGCGUUAUCUUCUCCAAUGCCAUCUAUUUACCUGCAGAUGCCAUGAUUUUAUUUAAUUUUUUAUUGCUGAUUAAAGUUCCAUUGCGUAUAUAUGCCACAUUUUUUAAUCCAUUCAUCCACUGAAGGGUAUCUAGGUUGACUCCACAGUUUAGCUCUUGUGAAUUGUGCUGCUAUAAACAUUGAUGUGGCUGUGUCCCUGUAGUAUGGUGUUUUUUAAGUUCUUUGGGGAAGUCUGAGGAGAGGGAUUGCUGGGUCAAAUGGUGGUUUCAUUCCCAGAUUUCCAAGGAAUCUCCACACCGCUUUCCAAAUUGGCUGCACCAAUUUGGAAGUCCCACCAGCAAGGUAAGAGGGUA